rnacentral:rRNA from 1 species
CAGAGGUCUCGAGCGUUAAUCGGAAUUACUGGGCUUAAAGGGUGCGUAGGCGGCGCUGUAAGUGCCUUGUGAAAUCCCAUGGCUUAACCAUGGAAUUGCUCGGCAGACUGCAGUGCUUGAGGUCGGUAGGGGGUCGCUGGAACUCUAGGUGGAGCGGUGAAAUGCGUAGAUAUCUAGAGGAACGCCAAAGGUGUAGACAGGCGACUGGGCCGAUUCUGACGCUGAGGCACGAAAGCGUGGGUAGCGAACGGGAUUAGAUACCCCGGUAGUCCACGCCCUAAACGAUGUGCACUAGAUCGUGGAGGCUCUGACGCCAUCAUGGUCGAAGUUAAAAUGCUAAGUGCACCGCCUGGGGAGUACGGUCGCAAGGCUA